rfam:Oryza glumipatula chromosome 12, whole genome shotgun sequence.
AAAAAGACAAACACUAGGUUUUCGUGUUCAACAUUUGACCGUCCGUCUUAUAUGAAUUUUUUUUAUAAUUAGUAUUUUCAUUGUUGUUAGAUGAUAAAACAUGAGUAAUAUUUUAUGCAUGACUUAUCUUUUUAAUUUUUUUUAUAUUUUUUUAAAUAAGAUGGACGGUAAACGUUGGACACGAAAAUCUAGAGUUUGCCUUUUU